rnacentral:rRNA from 1 species
UACGUAGGGCGCAAGCGUUGUCCGGAAUUAUUGGGCGUAAAGAGCUCGUAGGCGGUUUGUCGCGUCUGGUGUGAAAACUCAGGGCUCAACCUUGAGCUUGCAUCGGGUACGGGCAGACUAGAGUGUGGUAGGGGUGACUGGAAUUCCUGGUGUAGCGGUGGAAUACGCAGAUAUCAGGAGGAACACCGAUGGCGAAGGCAGGUCACUGGGCCACUACUGACGCUGAGGAGCGAAAGCAUGGGGAGCGAACAGG